AAAGUCCCUGUGGAGUAAGACUGCCGGGUCGCCCCAGCUCCGAGUCAUGCGCCUGUUAUCGUAAGGUAUCUGGUGAAGCGUUGACAGGAGUGUCUGUAGGCUAAGUAUUGAGCUGCGAAAUCAAUCAAUUCGAGGUGCUGAUGUUGUUAACUGAAGCAGAAAGCAAAACUGCAGGUCGCAUAAAUCCGCAAGUGACCGGUAGACCUCGCGCAGUCGUAGACCU
rfam:Endozoicomonas numazuensis strain DSM 25634 scaffold00010, whole genome shotgun sequence.